ACUGCACUGGGCCUUUAAAGGUGAAAGUAAAGAAAAUAUGUUAUGAAUAAAUACAUUACAAGAGGACAACUCGCAAUCAGACAAAAAUAGCUAUGUAUUUACACAAAAUAAAUAACAUUUAGACUUUAAAACACAGUUAUGCACAUAUCAGGCCUAUAGCCUACAUUAGUUUAUUCUCACAUGUAUAAAUAUAUCAGCUUACUCAAUCAAUUCCCAUUUCUUUGGAAUUUAGUAAUAUCUUUGUGAGAGUAACCUAUGACGUCUACACUUUCCACAGGAAUCUGCAUGGCCAUGUCAUGAUCCACUGGGUCAAAGAGUGAAACCCCCUCCAUGUUUCUAAAUGUUCAAUCUCUUACAAUGCAAUGCAAUGCUGAUCUGAUCCCAUUUCCAAUCCCUAUUUAAUGCCAUUAACAAAAUCUCACAACACAUUGCCUUCGAUCUUACAACCUGUAUGUAGUAUUGUCUAUUUAUUAUACAGGUUUAUGUCAAUGGCAUAGCAGGGGUUCAUUUUAGCAGAAUCCUCUCUGUGCGGUAGCUCAGCCGGUGUGGUCUAAAUUUAACCCUAAUGCCAUGUGACAUGAAUGUCUAUUUUAGUAUUUCUGCCUGCUACUCACAGGCAGAGAGAAAGAGAGAUUGGGAGUAGAGAGAAACCUGACACUCCCCACAACCACAGAGAGAUGAGCACGCAAACAUCACCCGUGCAGCCCUACAAGUGUUCUCUUGGUGCACCAAACACAACAUGCCCCAUUUGUGCCACGAGGUCCCAUAAGGUUAGCAGGAGGAAAGAGCUGGUCAUGAAUAGAGCCUGAUAUCAAAUGAUUUUCAACCAACUGUACAAUAUUUCCCUGCACUAUAUGCCUAUGCCAGAGUAUGUGAGCGUAGCGUGCCCAAUUUGUCUGGAGCUCAGAGCAAGGUUCCGAAAGGCUGGCGCAUUGGCCUUCUCGCCUGCUCCAAUAGCACUCCAAAGUAGCGCUCACUUCAUGAGCUCAGGGCAUGCCUGGCCCAGCAUGUAUUUGUAGUCUACUUUUGUGCUGCUAUAGCCCCUUGCUUUAGCUACUGUCAUGGAGGUCGCUAAAUGUUUUCAUAAAGAAACUGAUAAAACACAAAAAAAACGCAAAAUCAUGGUGACUUACAAACAGGGAUGGAGCCAGAGGAGUGUCUGGGGUGGCACUGGACACCCCUGACAUCUGAUUGGCCACCCUGGGUGCCACCCCAAAAUUCCAUUCGCUACUGGCAGUUUGAUGCUGAUUGACAUCUCAUUUGCAUCAUCACCGGACCCCAGAGCAGUUCCCUACCUGAGUCUAGAGUCAGUGUGGUCAGACUUCACAAGGACCAAGUCUACCACCACCAGAUGUAUCAAGGGAUGACACAGAGACCUCUGACUCUGAGUAAGACAGUGAACCAGAGCUGCCGGGAAAGGUCAUCAAGCCCCUCCCAACUGCAUCAAGGGAUGACACAGAGAGCUCUGGUUCGGAGCAAGACAGUGAGCCAGAGCUGCCAGGAGGUGUCAUUGAGCCCCUCCCAACUGUGUCAAGUACCAGAUAUGCUGUUCCAAAAGGACUGAUGACAUUUCAAGAUCCAGAGAAGAGGGUCCUGUACAGACGUGUUUGAAAUCAUUUCCCAGAACUCAGCAUGGUACUAGGAAAGGGGUUUUCAACAGCUCCUGGUAUAAGGACAAUUCAUGGCUUGAAUAUUAAGUAAGUCAAGAUUUGACUUAGUUUUACCUGUAGGCAUUUUUCUCUGCCCAAUACACCUGAAUCUGCCUUCACAUCACAGUCAUGUUUCUCUGCCCAAUACACCUGCAUCUGCCUUCACAUCACAGUCAUGUUUCUCUGCCCAAUACACCUGAAUCUGCCUUCACAUCACAGUCAUGUUUCUUUGCCCAAUACACCUGAAUCUGCCUUCACAUCACAGUCAUGUUUCUCUGCCCAUACACCUGAAUCUGCCUUCACAUCACAGUCAUGUUUCUCUGCCCAAUACACCUGAAUCUGCCUUCACAUCACAGUCAUGUUUCUCUGCCCAUACACCUGAAUCUGCCUUCACAUCACAGUCAUGUUUCUCUGCUCAAUACACCUGAAUCUGCCUUCACAUCACAGUCAUGUUUCUCUGUUCAAUACACCUGAAUCUGCCUUCACAUCACAGUCAUGUUUCUCUGCCCAUACACCUGAAUCUGCCUUCACAUCACAGUCAUGUUUCUCUGCCCAAUACACCUGAAUGUGCCUUCACAUCACAGUCAUGUUUCUCUGCCCAUACACCUGAAUCUGCCUUCACAUCACAGUCAUGUUUCUCUGCCCAAUACACCUGAAUCUGCCUUCACAUCACAGUCAUGUUUAUCUGCCCAUACAUCUGAAUCUGCCUUCACAUCACAGUCAUGUUUAUCUGCCCAAUACACCUGAAUCUGCCUUCACAUCAGUCAUGUUUCUCUGCUCAAUACACCUGAAUCUGCCUUCACAUCACAGUCAUGUUUCUCUGUUCAAUACACCUGAAUCUGCCUUCACAUCACAGUCAUGUUUCUCUGUUCAAUACACCUGAAUCUGCCUUCACAUCACAGUCAUGUUUCUCUGUUCAAUACACCUGAAUCUGCCUUCACAUCACAGUCAUGUUUCUCUGCCCAAUACACCUGCAUCUGCCUUCACAUCACAGUCAUGUUUCUCUGCCCAAUACACCUGCAUCUGCCUUCACAUCACAGUCAUGUUUCUCUGCCCAAUACACCUGAAUCUGCCUUCACAUCACAGUCAUGUUUCUCUGCCCAUACACCUGAAUCUGCCUUCACAUCACAGUCAUGUUUCUCUGCUCAAUACACCUGAAUCUGCCUUCACAUCACAGUCAUGUUUCUCUGUUCAAUACACCUGCAUCUGCCUUCACAUUACAGUCAUGUUUCUCUGCCCAAUACACCUGAAUGUGCCUUCACAUCACAGUCAUGUUUCUCUGCCCAUACACCUGAAUCUGCCUUCACAUCACAGUCAUGUUUCUCUGCCCAAUACACCUGAAUCUGCCUUCACAUCACAGUCAUGUUUCUCUGCCCAAUACACCUGCAUCUGCCUUCACAUCACAGUCAUGUUUCUCUGCCCAAUACACCUGAAUCUGCCUUCACAUCACAGUCAUGUUUCUCUGCCCAUACACCUGAAUCUGCCUUCACAUCACAGUCAUGUUUCUCUGCUCAAUACACCUGAAUCUGCCUUCACAUCACAGUCAUGUUUCUCUGCCCAUACACCUGAAUCUGCCUUCACAUCACAGUCAUUUUUCUCUGCCCAAUACACCUGCAUCUGCCUUCACAUCACAGUCAUGUUUCUCUGUUCAAUACACCUGAAUCUGCCUUCACAUCAGUCAUGUUUCUCUGCUCAAUACACCUGAAUCUGCCUUCACAUCACAGUCAUGUUUCUCUGUUCAAUACACCUGAAUCUGCCUUCACAUCAGUGAUGUUUCUCUGCUCAAUACACCUGAAUCUGCCUUCACAUCACAGUCAUGUUUCUCUGUUCAAUACACCUGAAUCUGCCUUCACAUCACAGUCAUGUUUCUCUGUUCAAUACACCUGAAUCUGCCUUCACAUCACAGUCAUGUUUCUCUGUUCAAUACACCUGAAUCUGCCUUCACAUCACAGUCAUGUUUCUCUGUUCAAUACACCUGAAUCUGCCUUCACAUCACAGUCAUGUUUCUCUGUUCAAUACACCUGAAUCUGCCUUCACAUCACAGUCAUGUUUCUCUGCCCAUACACCUGCAUCUGCCUUCACAUCACAGUCAUGUUUCUCUGUUCAAUACACCUGAAUCUGCCUUCACAUCACAGUCAUGUUUCUCUGCCCAUACACCUGAAUCUGCCUUCACAUCACAGUCAUUUUUCUCUGCCCAAUACACCUGCAUCUGCCUUCACAUCACAGUCAUGUUUCUCUGUUCAAUACAUCUGAAUCUGCCUUCACAUCAGUCAUGUUUCUCUGCUCAAUACACCUGAAUCUGCCUUCACAUCACAGUCAUGUUUCUCUGUUCAAUACACCUGAAUCUGCCUUCACAUCACAGUCAUGUUUCUCUGUUCAAUACACCUGAAUCUGCCUUCACAUCACAGUCAUGUUUCUCUGUUCAAUACACCUGAAUCUGCCUUCACAUCACAGUCAUGUUUUUGUAACUGGAAAAAGGCUCUGUUUAAAGAUUCUGGGUUUAAGCUCCAUUCAAAGGCAGAGCAUCAUAUAAAUGCUGUGUAUGCUUGGAAUCAGCAUAAAAGGGCUAUUGACAGCAAAUUAUCAAUGUUAGAUGUUAUAAAUGAGGACCGGAAAGUGGAGGAAAACUGUACUUAUAUUAAAAUAAUUGCAGAUGUGCUUCUAUUAACUAUCACUCAAAGUAUAGCGCAGACAGGUCAUCGAGAGUCUGAUGACUCUCACAACAAGGGUAAUGUUUUGACAAACUUAGAAGAAAUAGCAAAGCAUGACCCUCUCAUAAAGAAAAGGAUGAAUGCAUGUGGCAAUGCUAAGUACACAAGCCACCAAAUCCAGAACAAAGUUCUUGAGGGCUUAGCUGAGAUGGUACUGUAACGCCUGUCGUCAGAAGGAGUGGACCAAAGCGCAGCGUGAAAAGUGUUCAUGAUUUUUUUAUUACCAAAAAAAACUCGAACAAAGUAACAAAACGAAAGCGAACAGUUCUGUCAUGUAACAAAGACUAAACAGAAAAUAACUACCCACAAACACAGGUGGGAAAAGCGCUGCCUAAGUAUGAUUCCCAAUCAGAGACAAUGAUAGACAGCUGCCUCUGAUUGGGAACCAUACUCGGCCAAAAACAAAGAAAUAGACAACAUAGAAUGCCCACCCCAAAUCACACCCUGACCUAACCAAAUAGAGAAAUAAAACGGCUCUCUAAGGUCAAGGCGUGACAGGUACAAAGUCAAAUAAUAAGAGAAGUAAAAGAAAGUGAAGUUUUUAGUGUAAUUGCAGAUUAAACAAAAUAUUUAAAGAAAAGAUAACAAAUGUCUUCAGUUGUGAGGUUACAACGGGGCCAUCCACGAAAGCGUUUUACACUUUCAGUAAGCUGAAAGCUUAUAUGCAGAAGGUCUCACAAAAAUGAUACUUGAUUGCCUUGAAAAACAUGGUCUGGACUACAGAAAUAAUCUUGUGGGGCAAAGCUAUGAUGGUGCAUCUGUCAUGAGCGGAAAGCAUUCUGGUGUGUCUGCAUGGAUUAAAAACAGUGGUAGAUUUGCAUUUUAUGUGCACUGGCAUGCAUAUUGUUUUCAUUUGGUUCUUGUCGAUGCUGUAAAAUCAGUGCCUGAGGCAGUUAACGUUUUUGCUCUCCUGCAGAAGCUUUAUAACUUUGUAUCUGGCUCAUACAUUCAUCUCAAGUGGCUUGCAGCUCAGAAAGAGCUGUACCCACAGCAGCAGCCCAGUGAACUUAUGGAUGUAAGGUGGGCAUGCAGGUACAUGGCAUGCCAUAAGGAUUCCAGCAGUUCUGAGAGCGCUACAGGAUAUCACACUUGAAAAUAGUGGUGAUAGAUCAGUGGAGGCAAGGGGCCUUCUUUCUCAAAUAGAUUUACAAUUCAUAGGGCUGUUGGUUACCUUUUUGUUAGUAUAAUUUAAUUAUGCCGAUGUGCUUUCAUCAAUUGAAAGCCCUUCGUCUAUUUUAUGAGAAUUUGCAAGAUUUCUUGUUUGCAUAAAAUGGACGCAGACCAGUCUUUAAAUAAUAGGUAAUAGAAUUUAUUCUCGGAGCGCGCUACCACUCAAAACAAAUGCAUCAGUUUAAAUACAGAUCAUGACGUCAUUUCACUGUCUUAAACGAACCCCCCCCCUCUCUCGACAGGACAAAGUAAGGUGAAAAGUUCAUUCUAUCUUACUAACACACUCCCAGAUAACUUUUGACCCCUCAACAUUAUCGAUCACCACUGAACUGACAGGUUUAAUUAACAGAAACCCUAGGAAUGCACUCACUGCCUAAUCUAAAAACCCCAGAGGUAAGUUUCAGGUUGGGUCAACCAUAGGCUCACGACCUUAUGUGUUUACACAGUCCACAACCCAUUUGUUCCUGCCCAGUUGGAAUGGUUUUAUUACUCCUUUCUCCUGUCACACAAUUUCUUCCUAUGAACUCAUAUUGUCUAUUUAAACAUACAGAGUAUAAGUUUAUCUAGACACAAUUCUAUUUAAAAUGGGGAUAUUGUUUAUUCAUUUAUCCAUAAUAAAUCCAUAAUAAAUUCAACACUUUUGUAAAGUGCUUGGUGAUGCCAAAUGUCUUUCUGACAUGCUCCAAUCAAGCUCUCUUGACCUAGCAAGGGCUGUGGAUCUAGUAGGUGCCCUUACAGACUCAUUACAGGACUACAGAAGUGAGGGUUACAUUGGAGAACUGUGGAAAGAGGUUGAAGAGUUUGCAGAGCACUGUGAAAUAAGUGUACAAACAGUGUGUAAAAGACAGCCUAAAACAAGCUUAAGAUUUCACAACGCAUUGAUGAUGAGCACCGUAGGACAGAAAGAUAGUGACCAACGGGAUGGUGAGAGCUUCCAAAGAGCUUUCUUUUAUCAGGUGCUUGACAGUCUCACAGCUGAGCCGCAGAUGCGUUUUCAGAGAAGAUUUGCGAGAUAAUGCAAAGGGGUCCAGUCCUUCAACCCAAAGAGGACAUCAUUCUUGAAUGAGGAGCCUCUGAUUGCCUUUGCUCAGACCUUUGAGUCAGAUUUAGAGGACCUCAAACAUGAGGUUCAUCAAACCAAGCGGCUUCUUGAUAUGAGAGAGAAAAGUGGAAGGGACAGACCGUCUACUCUCCUGGACUUUGUUGUGUUGCUAGAACCUUAUAAAAGUGGUCUUCCAUGAGAUAUUUUGACUUAGUAAGAUUUUUGUUGUUACACCAGUCAGCAGUGCUUCUUGCGAGAGAAUCUUCUCAGCUUUAUAACUGAUUAAAACCCACAUUAGGACAACAAUGGUUGAUGACAGGUUAAGUUACUUCAGAAUUACCAGUGUUGAGUCAAGGAGGGCAUGCUCCCUCAACAUGGAUGAGUUUGUGAAACACUUUGCCAGUUCUCACCAGAACUCCAGAAAUAUGCUGUUUUUAAAUCUACCUAGGAUAAUUUGGCACUUAGGCGGUCCCUCUGGUCAUGUUAUAAACCUGCACUGUGUACUAGCUAGUACACUGACAUUCUAAAAUGAUAUAAAUCCAGGGUAUCAAGGGUAUCAUGUCACACAUAUUUAAUUUGGUCUUGAUUAGGCCAAUUCCAAAACUUUUCUUUGCUAUUAGUUAACAUAAUAUAUAUGAGCAUUAAUAGUAAGUUUGUAAUAUUGAUGGGCACCAAAAUUAUUUUUGAAGUCCGUUUCUGCUUGAUACCUGGUAUGUCAAAUUGCAGUGUUGUUUUGUAAAUGUACUUUUUUGUAAAUAAACUAUGCAAUUUAUGUAACACACAAAUGCUAUCUUAUCUCCUUGGUGCUUGAGCUUUAUUUUCUUAAAAUAUUUAGGAUGUUCAACACUUAUAGAUCCAGAUGAUAUAUUCAUGAAAACAGAGUGACCCAAGUCUCUCCAGUGUGUGUGUGUGUGUGUGUGUGUGUGUGUGUGUGUGUGUGUGUGUGUGUGUGUGUGUGUGUGUGUGUGUGUGUGUGUGUGUGUGUGUGUGUGUGUGUGUGUGUGUGUGUGUGUGUGUGUGUGUGUGUGUGUGUGUG